rfam:Paenibacillus sp. VKM B-2647 B-2647_073, whole genome shotgun sequence.
GGGGAACCACGCGUACCCAUCCCGAACACGACCGUUAAGCCCUCCAGCGCCGAUGGUACUUAGACCGCAGGGUCUUGGGAGAGUAGGACGUCGCCAAGC